AAAUUGAAGAGUUUGAUCAUGGCUCAGAUUGAACGCUGGCGGCAGGCCUAACACAUGCAAGUCGAACGGUAACAGGAAGCAGCUUGCUGCUUCGCUGACGAGUGGCGGACGGGUGAGUAAUGUCUGGGAAACUGCCUGAUGGAGGGGGAUAACUACUGGAAACGGUGGCUAAUACCGCAUAACGUCGCAAGACCAAAGAGGGGGACCUUCGGGCCUCUUGCCAUCAGAUGUGCCCAGAUGGGAUUAGCUAGUUGGUGAGGUAACGGCUCACCAAGGCGACGAUCCCUAGCUGGUCUGAGAGGAUGACCAGCCACACUGGAACUGAGACACGGUCCAGACUCCUACGGGAGGCAGCAGUGGGGAAUAUUGCACAAUGGGCGCAAGCCUGAUGCAGCCAUGCCGCGUGUAUGAAGAAGGCCUUCGGGUUGUAAAGUACUUUCAGCGGGGAGGAAGGUGU
rnacentral:rRNA from 1 species